AUUAUAUCAGUCUUCCUCUCGAAUCAGUCGGUGCCUCUUGUGUCCUCCUGCUUGUGCCACCUGUCUGCGACUCCUGUCUGCCUUUGCAUCUUUUGUAAGUUUGUUUGUCACUUUCUUUCAGUUGUUUUUUACUUUAUAGUUCUAGUUUUUUCCCUCACAUUUUUCUGAGGUGAUUUUCUGUGUGUCUUUUGUUUUCUGUUGAACUUUCUAGUUGACUUUAUAUUCCUUUGUUACUUGCCCCAUGUGGUAUAUUUGAGUUGUACUUUUAAUGUCAGAGGUUGUUGUAGUUUUUCUGUAAUUUUCCCUGACACUUGUUUUUCUUCGUUUUCAGUAGCUGUCCAUGCCUCCUGAGCCUUUUUACCCUGCAAUGUGAUUUUAUGUUGUUUUUUCUUGUUGAUAUUUUUGUUAAUAAACUUUUAGUGAUUUUGUCUGUGCAGUAUUGGGUCCUGGC